AGCACCAACCAAUAGCAUGGUGAC
rnacentral:siRNA from 1 species